rnacentral:rRNA from 1 species
GACGAACGCUGGCGGCGUGCUUAACACAUGCAAGUCGAACGAUGAAGCUAGAGCUUGCUCUGGUGGAUUAGUGGCGAACGGGUGAGUAACACGUGAGUAACCUGCCCCGAACUCUGGGAUAACUGCUGGAAACGGUAGCUAAUACCGGAUAUGACCAAUGAAGGCAUCUUCUGUUGGUGGAAAGAACUUCGGUUCGGGAUGGACUCGCGGCCUAUCAGCUUGUUGGUGAGGUAACGGCUCACCAAGGCGACGAUGCGUAGCCGACAUGGGAGGGUGGUCGGCCACACGGGGACUGAGACACGGCCCAGCACCCUACGGGAGGCAGCAGUGGGGAAUAUUGCGCAAUGCGCGAAAGCGUGACGCAGCAACACCGCGUGAGGGAAGACGGCCUUAGGGUUGUAAACCUCUUUCAGUUGGGACGAAGGUUCGACGGUGAAUAGCCGGCCGGACUGACGGUACCUUCAGAAGAAGCUCCGGCUAAC